GACGAAGGGGGCUAGCGUUGUUCGGAAUUACUGGGCGUAAAGCGCACGCAGGUGGCUGAGUCAGUCGAUUGUGAAAGCCCUGGGCUUAACCUGGGAAUUGCAGUCGAUACUACUCAGCUAGAGUAUGGGAGAGGGUAGUGGAAUUCCCGGUGUAGCGGUGAAAUGCGUAGAUAUCGGGAGGAACAUCAGUGGCGAAGGCGGCUACCUGGCCCAAUACUGACACUCAGGUGCGACAGCGUGGGGAGCAAACAGG
rnacentral:rRNA from 1 species